UGACCUAAACCCUCACCAGAGUAACAAUUGGAGGGCAAGUCUGGUGCCAGCAGCCGCGGUAAUUCCAGCUCCAAUAGCGUAUAUUAAACUUGUUGCAGUUAAAAAGCUCGUAGUUGAAUUUUUGCGUGGUGUUAACAUUGACUGAUGUCGAGAUUGCACUUCGCUUUUGGGAUUUUUCCCUUUUUACUUUGAGAAAAUUAGAGUGUUUCAAGCAGACUUUUGUCUUGAAUACUUCAGCAUGGAAUAAUAGAGUAGGACUUUGGUUCUAUUUUGUUGGUUUGUGAACCUUAGUAAUGGUUAAUAGGAACGGUUGGGGGCAUUCGUAUUUAACUGUCAGAGGUGAAAUUCUUAGAUUUGUUAAAGACGAACUACUGCGAAAGCAUUUGCCAAGGACGUUUUCAUUAAUCAAGAACGAAAGUUAGGGGAUCGAAGACGAUCAGAUACCGUCGUAGUCCUAACCAUAAACUAA
rnacentral:rRNA from 1 species